CUGGAGUCGGAGCCAAAGCACAAAGCCAUUUCCUCUUACAGCAAAAACCGCUGCACAGAAUUAUUAGGAGUUAAGAAGAAUUUCAUGUUCAAUAUUCUUUGUUUUGUUUAAUUCUUCCUUAAGAAAAAUAUACCAAUUCUUUUGGUUCUGGCAAUUCUUACGGUAAGAGAAUACCCCAAUUCAUGAUGUGAGAUGAAAUAAGGAGAUCUGAAAUUUUUUUUUUUCCAGAUCUCGUUAUUUCAUAUUACUUUAUGGUUUAGUCUUCCUAGUUCUAUCAAUCUGACCAUCUUACCAUCUUACCACCUUCACCUUUUCUGAGGUAUGAUUUCGUCUAUUCGGUGUUUUUUAUUUUUUAAAUGUUUAGGAAAAAUAUAAAUUUGUUCAUUCUUCUGGAAAUUUUGUCUUACCACAUAUAUGUUAUGGUCACUUUCGACGCUAUGUGGCCCGGCCCAAUACUCAAAUUUCAAUCAAUUUCGGCUUCAUACAAAUUUUACCAGUUUUAGUUUCUUUGAUUAAGUCUCUAUUUUUUUCUUACUUUUGAAGAAAAAUUAAAUUCAUUUUUUAUUUUCAAAUUUCAUGUUAACAGUUCAGUUGGAUUUCUGUUGAAUAUGGUAAGGUGGCUAUUGAAGCUGUUUGUGGCCAUUUUUUCCCAAUUCCGUUCAUAAUAUUUUAAAAUCCCAUUAAAAAUAAAAAUUCAUCAUUUGUUCUGAAAAUUUUUACAUUUUAAUUGAAUGUCAUUGGUUGACCACAUUCUGUUUUCAACAGGUUAUUUGCGGCCCAUUUCCCAGUUCUUUGGCUUUAGGCCCGCUUUUGAGUGCAUUGGAACUAUAUGGAGUUGUCCUGAUCUUGGUCUAAUUUCUGCUAAUGCUGAAUCUGCCGAUGAAUUUCUUCAUGAUUUGUCUGACAAUUACAAUUCGUCUGAGUUCAUUGGUCUCAAACAAAAGAAUCAUAAAUCCCUUUUAUUGCUCAUGAUUUCAGUAUUUUUUUUCUAGUAUUUGAAGUCAGGCCCUUGUUUGUUUUGUUUUUUGGUUCUUACUUUUAGGAACUAUAUAGAGUUGUCCUGAUCUUCCUGCUACUGUUAUCCCUGGUCUAAUUUCUGAUAAUGCUGAAUCUGCUGAGGACUCUACUGUAGAUUUCUAGAUUUGUCUGACAAUUCAUCUGAGUGCAUUGGGACUUCACUUGUUUUUGUGCUUCUACCGGACAUGGUUUUCAUGGCAUCAUAUUCCAAGAUCAGUGCCAUUGUUAUUUCUAAACGUAUGUUUCUGUUACUUUUUAUGUCUUAUGUUGUUUAAUUUGUUUUUUGUGUUGGCUGUCAAUGGUAGACUCUUUCCCUUAGUUGUUGGUUUAGAGCUUCAAUGCUCGUUAAAUAUGCAUGUAACUUUCUUCUUUUUUUUUUCCAGUUCUACUAGAACUUGAGUAGAAACUUCAUACCAUUAAAGUUUAUCUACCGGUUAUUGCAUCAUGGACACAUUACAAUUUUUUAAAAGAGAAUGCUUCAACUAAAAACGUAAAAGAUUUUGCUGAACUUAGGACUAAAAGGAUUGUUCGUAAGAUUUCAACUUCAAUGUUAAGGGAUUGUUUGGAAAAUUUCAAUUAUUUGUGUACCAUAGAAAAUGGUGUAAGUGAUUUGUAUUAUUUUCUAUGGUUUUUUGUUGCAUGUUCUUUUUUGUGUUAAUGUAAUAUUGCUUAUACAUGUUUAUAAUAUUCCAUUGGUUAUUUUGUAGGAGGCAAAAGGCUGUAUCAUUAAUAAGUCUGUUGAGUGUUAUUGUGGGUGUUAAUGUGAUUGUUCUAAGUUUCGUAUUAACAGUCGUAAAAGGGAGUUGUGUCGUGGUGUGUAUUGUGGUGGUAGUGUAGCAAAGACUGCAUUUGGUAUAAUGUUGGGAAAAUAUCAGGGAGUACAAAAAAACCCAACCUAAAACUGGUGAACGUAACAUAGAGAAUUUGACUUCAGGUUUGGAAUUUGAUGAUGGUGUUGAAUGUUUGCUAUUUAUUAUGGUUGAUGUCGCUCUCCAAAUUUCUUCAUUUUGAAUUGUGUCGUUCAUGGAGAACCACAAUUUUUCUGUCGGAGAGCGACAUCAACCAUAACAAAUAGCAAAUAUUCAACACUAUCAUCUAAUUCCAAACUUGAAGUCAAAUUCUUUAUGUUACGUUCACCAGUUAUAGGUCAGUUUUUUUUACUCCCCGAUAUUUUCCCAACAUUAUACUAAAUGCAGCCUUUCCUCCAUUACCACCACAAUACACAUCACGACCCAACUCCCUUUUACUACUGUUAAUACAGAACUUAGAACAAUCACAUUGACACACUCAGCAGACCUAUUAAUGAUGUAACCUUUUGGCUCCUACAAAAUAACCAAUGUGAUAUAAACGUGUAAGCAAUAUUACAUUGACACAGAAAAGAACAUGCAACAAAAACCAUAGAAAAUAAUAAAAAUCACUUACACCAUUUUCUAUGGUACACAGAUAGCAUCGAAGUUGUAAUCUUCCAAGCAAUCCUUUUAGAAACAACCUCCCAAGUUCAACAAUAUGUUUUACGUUUUUAGUUGAAGCUUUCUCUUUUAAAAAAUUCAUCAAAGCAUCUCCUGCUUUAUUGUAAUGGGCCCAUGAUGCAAUAACCAGUGGAUGAGCUCUAAUGGUAUGAAUUUUACAUGUCUUUUUUUUCUUUUCACAAAUGAUCUGUGACAUCAAAACGGUCCCUGAAAUUGUUUGAUUUCAUCCUUGUAACUGUUUAUCUUUUUCUUUACAGUUAGAACAAUUGAUAAUUAAAUGUUUGGAGGCAUUUUUGUUAUAUCUUUUACUGUGAUUUUGUAAAUUCUAGAUAGACCUGCUUUCUUGAUUACCCAUUAUUCUAUUUUUUGCCUAUAAAAUUGUAUUAACUUGUAAUCACUCCAGGUAGGCUCUUAAGCCUCAUUCUCAGUUUGAGCAGUCUGUUGAAGUUAUGCUCUAAAAGCCAAUUUAUGUAAUAUUAUGCCAUGGUUCCAAAGUGAUUAAUUAAUAAAACGACAAGUUUUAUUUAUGCA